rnacentral:rRNA from 1 species
AGUGAACGCUGGCGGUAGGCCUAACACAUGCAAGUCGAACGGCAGCACAGUAAGAGCUUGCUCUUACGGAUGGCGAGGGGCGGAGGGGUGAGAAAUAUAUCGAAACCGCCUUUUUGGUGGGGGAUAACGUAGGGAAACUUACCCUAAACCCGAAUACAACCUACGGGGGAAGGCAGGGAAUUUUCGGAUUUUUCGGGUAAGAAUAAGCGGGCGUCGGAUUAGCUAGUUGGCGGGGUAAAGGCCCACCAAGGCGACGAUCCGUAGCUGGUCUGAGAGGAUGAUCAGCCACACUGGAACUGAGACACGGUCCAGACUCCUACGGGAGGCAGCAGUAGGGAAUAUUGGACAAUGGGCGCAAGCCUGAUCCAGCCAUGCCGCGUGAGUGAAGAAGGCCUUCGGGUUGUAAAGCCCUUUUGUUAGGGAAGAAAAGCAGCGGGGUAAUACCCCGCUGUUCUGACGGUACCCAACGAAUAAGCAACGGCUAACUUCGUG